rnacentral:rRNA from 1 species
GAGUUUGAUCAUGGCUCAGAAUGAACGUUGGCGGCGUGGAUUAGGCAUGCAAGUCGAGCGAGAAGCUUCCUUCGGGAAGUGGAGCGGCGAAAGGGAGAGUAAUACGUAGAAAUCUGCCCCGGAGUCUGGGAUAGCGUUGGGAAACUGGCGGUAAUACCGGAUAACGUCUUCGGACCAAAGAAUUUCGCUCUGGGAUGAGUCUACGACCUAUUAGCUGGUUGGUGAGGUAACGGUUCACCAAGGCGACGAUGGGUAGCGGGUGUGAGAGCAUGAUCCGCCUCACUGGGACUGAGACACUGCCCAGACAUCUACGGAUGGCUGCAGUCGAGAAUCUUUGUCAAUGGACGAAAGUCUGAACAAGCGACGCCGCGUGCGGGAUGAAGGCCCUCGGGUUGUAAACCGCUGUCAGAGGGGAGGAAAUUUUGACUGAACCUCAGAGGAAGGACGGGCUAAGUUCGUGCCAGCAGCCGCGGUAAGACGAACCGUCCGAACGUUAUUCGGUAUCACUGGGCUUAAAGAGUCCGUAGGCGGCCAUGUAGGUCAGAUGUGAAAUCCCACAGCUCAACUGUGGAACUGCGUUUGAAACCACAUGGCUUGAGGAAGAUAGAGGUGAGCGGAACAGAUGGUGGAGCGGUGAAAUGCGUUGAUAUCAUCUGGAACACCGGUGGCGAAAGCGGCUCACUGGAUCUUUUCUGACGCUGAGGGACGAAAGCUAGGGUAGCGAACGGGAUUAGAUACCCCGGUAGUCCUAGCCGUA